GGUGAACGCUGGCGGCGUGCCCAAUACAUGCAAGUCGAGCGAACGGACGAGAAGCUUGCUUCUCUGAUGUUAGCGGCGGACGGGUGAGUAACACGUGGAUAACCUACCUAUAAGACUGGGAUAACUUCGGGAAACCGGAGCUAAUACCGGAUAAUAUUUUGAACCGCAUGGUUCAAAAGUGAAAGACGGUCUUGCUGUCACUUAUAGAUGGAUCCGCGCUGCAUUAGCUAGUUGGUAAGGUAACGGCUUACCAAGGCAACGAUGCAUAGCCGACCUGAGAGGGUGAUCGGCCACACUGGAACUGAGACACGGUCCAGACUCCUACGGGAGGCAGCAGUAGGGAAUCUUCCGCAAUGGGCGAAAGCCUGACGGAGCAACGCCGCGUGAGUGAUGAAGGUCUUCGGAUCGUAAAACUCUGUUAUUAGGGAAGAACAUAUGUGUAAGUAACUGUGCACAUCUUGACGGUACCUAAUCAGAAAGCCACGGCUAACUACGUG
rnacentral:rRNA from 1 species